AUAGGCUUAAUUACGGUUGGCUUGGAUGAAUGGCCUAAAAUUAUCAAAUUAUUGGAGAAUGCAAUGUGGAAAAUAUUGACCAUGAAAAAUUACUGGACAUGGUGCACUUUGGCGUUUGUUGUUUAGCUAAUUAGAGAAAAAAGGGACAAUUAAUAACAAAUUGAUUACAAUCCAAACUAGUUGAUUACACGAUUACAUGCUAGUUUGACUUCGGGCUCUCCAUAACCAGUCUUUGAUCAUGAGAUAUCAAGCCAGCCCACUUUCAAUUCUGGUUGAAAUUGGCCUUUCAGGCGUAAGUUUUUAUUUCAUGAACUUGCAAUUCUGGUUGAAAAUUAGAUCAUUCAGAUGUAAGUUUUCAUUUCAUGAAGAAAUUGCAGCCGAAGUUGCCAAGAAAAAUAUUAACCAUGAAAAAUAUUAAAAAAGAUGUAUUUUGGCAUUUGUUUAGCUAAUUUCAGGAAAAAGAACUAACUACGUGCUAACUCCAAAUUAAGGGUCUAAUUGGCAUAACUUUUAUUUCUUAUUUUUUAUAUUUUUAAAAAUAAAAUAUAGAAAUUGAGAAAUAAAAAAAUACUAUUAUUUUUAAUUUCUAAUGUUUAAAAGUCACC
rnacentral:lncRNA from 1 species